rnacentral:rRNA from 1 species
CCCUUAGAUGUUCUGGGCCGCACGCGCGCUACACUGAUUCAUGCAACAAGUUUUGUCCUUGGCUGAUAGGCCUGGGUAAUCUUCGAACGUGAAUCGUGAUGGGGAUAGAUGAUUGCAAUUAUUCAUCUUCAACGAGGAAUUCCUAGUAAACGCAAGUCAUCAGCUUGCAUUGAUUACGUCCCUGCCCUUUGUACACACCGCCCGUCGCACCUACCGAUUGAAUGGUCCGGUGAAAUCUUCGGAUCUGAGAGAUGUCUGAUUAAUUUCGGACGCCUUUUGGAAAAGUUGCUUAAACCUUACCAUUUAGAGGAAGGUGAAGUCGUAACA